AACGAACGCUGGCGGCAUGCCUAACACAUGCAAGUCGAACGAGACCUUCGGGUCUAGUGGCGCACGGGUGCGUAACGCGUGGGAAUCUGCCCUUGGGUUCGGAAUAACAGUGAGAAAUUACUGCUAAUACCGGAUGAUGUCUUCGGACCAAAGAUUUAUCGCCCAGGGAUGAGCCCGCGUAGGAUUAGCUAGUUGGUGGGGUAAUGGCCUACCAAGGCGACGAUCCUUAGCUGGUCUGAGAGGAUGAUCAGCCACACUGGGACUGAGACACGGCCCAGACUCCUACGGGAGGCAGCAGUGGGGAAUAUUGGACAAUGGGCGAAAGCCUGAUCCAGCAAUGCCGCGUGAGUGAUGAAGGCCUUAGGGUUGUAAAGCUCUUUUACCAGGGAUGAUAAUGACAGUACCUGGAGAAUAAGCUCCGGCUAACUCCGUGCCAGCAGCCGCGGUAAUACGGAGGGAGCUAGCGUUGUUCGGAAUUACUGGGCGUAAAGCGCGCGUAGGCGGUUACUCAAGUCAGAGGUGAAAGCCCGGGGCUCAACCCCGGAACUGCCUUUGAAACUAGGUGACUAGAAUCUUGGAGAGGUCAGUGGAAUUCCGAGUGUAGAGGUGAAAUUCGUAGAUAUUCGGAGGAACACCAGUGGCGAAGGCGACUGACUGGACAAGUAUUGACGCUGAGGUGCGAAAGCGUGGGGAGCAAACAGG
rnacentral:rRNA from 1 species